GACGAACGCUGGCGGCGUGCUUAACACAUGCAAGUCGAACGGAAAGGCCCUGCUUUUGUGGGGUGCUCGAGUGGCGAACGGGUGAGUAACACGUGAGUAACCCGCCCUUGACUUUGGGAUAACUUCAGGAAACUGGGGCUAAUACCGGAUAGGAGCUCCUGCUGCAUGGUGGGGGUUGGAAAGUUUCGGCGGUUGGGGAUGGACUCGCGGCUUAUCAGCUUGUUGGUGGGGUAGUGGCUUACCAAGGCUUUGACGGGUAGCCGGCCUGAGAGGGUGACCGGCCACAUUGGGACUGAGAUACGGCCCAGACUCCUACGGGAGGCAGCAGUGGGGAAUAUUGCACAAUGGGCGGAAGCCUGAUGCAGCAACGCCGCGUGCGGGAUGACGGCCCUCGGGUUGUAAACCGCUUUCGCCUGUGACGAAGCGUGAGUGACGGUAAUGGGUAAAGAAGCACCGGCUAACUACGUG
rnacentral:rRNA from 1 species